rnacentral:tRNA from 1 species
AAGGGAGACCUAAUUCAGGUAGGAGACGAAAAAAAAGUAGUCGCUACCAAGAAUCAAUCCCAAAAGGUCGGAGCGAGGCGAAAUUGGCUUUCAAACUAGGUUCUGGGUUCACACAAGACCUGAAUCAGGAACAAGGGCUAUUAGCUCAGGUGGUUAGAGCGCACCCCUGACAAGGGUGAGGUCCCUGGUUCGAGUCCAGGAUGGCCCACCUGUACAGGUGGCAAAAAGAAAGAAAAGAAGCGAGGAAUCAGCACCUUAUCUUACUGACAUAGUAAGAGAGAAUGCUGGCUCUGAGUAAAGAGUCUAGAGGAACCUUGAAAACUGCAUAGAGCUAGGUGAAAAAGCCAAAAAAGAAGACCGCAA